GAAAACCCUAAGUAUGGAAAGUUCAAAGACAAUGAUAUCAAUAAAAUUUACCACACUUAUAGCAAACUAUUUGGUAAUAGUUAUGGUUCCACGAAAUAUGCUUUAACAUCAACUAAAUUGUCAUAGCACGAUUUUGAUUUUGGCUCAGACAGCAACACGGAUGAUCCAAAUGACAAGUUGCCCAUCAACGUUGAGAUAGUAGAUUCAAGUGCCAGGCUUACAAAGGGUAGAGCAAACUCGUCUGGUGAGAAGUGUGAAGAAAAGCAAGGGAAUUGAAAGGGAAAGAAGAAGAAGUUCGAUGGAAGGGCAGGGAAGUUCUAGAGUUUGUAGAUAACUAAGCAUCUACAUUAAGGAAAUUUGCC
rnacentral:lncRNA from 1 species